UACAGAGGAUGCAAGCGUUAUCCGGAAUGAUUGGGCGUAAAGCGUCUGUAGGUGGCUUUUUAAGUCCGCCGUCAAAUCCCAGGGCUCAACUCUGGACAGGCGGUGGAGACUGUAAGGCUAGAGUUUGGCAGAGGGGGGUAGAAUUCCACGUGUAGCAGUGAAAUGCGUAGAGAUGUGGAGGAACACCGAUGGCGAAGGCAGCCCCCUGGGUCGAGACUGACGCUCAUGCACGAAAGCGUGGGGAGCAAACAGG
rnacentral:rRNA from 1 species